GCAAAUGGACAAAGUGUAUACAGAAAUCGAGUGAUUAUGUCAAAAAAUGAUGUAUGUCUUUUUUGACAAUUGCUUAAAAUAAAUUCUACACCGACAGAGCGGGCUGUUAAUCUAGAGGCUGGAGUACAAAGAAGUGGCACAAUGAUGUGGGCUGAUGACAUUUAUAAUUAUCAAGGAAUCACCCCUACAUUCGCUCAGAAUUUUAAUGAAACUGUCCCUUGGGAAGGAAGAACUGAUACCUUGAUAUCACGGUUUGUACAUCCUAUAUAUACGACAAAUUUUAGAACAUUAUAUAACGAAGAACCAGAUCGUCGUGGCCAUGUGAUGUGAAUAAAAGGACUUGAAUUUGAUGAUAUUUUUAUAAUGUUAGAUAACAUAACUAAGUAUCUUCACAGUAAGAUAGGAUGACAUGGUUUACAUGAUCUUAAUGUUGUUCACUCGAGUGAUGAUAUUAUAAGGAAAAGUGUAAUAUCACAGGAUAUUUAUGUUUAGUAACCAGUAAUUCAGAGAUUGGUAUUCAUGGUUACUAUAACGAGGCUGUAGAAACGCACCCUUUCUUCUUUGCAAAUGGUCCUGUAUUUAUGUCUAAGCCGAAACUGGAACCUCUGAAUAAUUUAGAUUUAUUCUUGUUAUUUUCUAAAAUACUUAUCUACAGUAUACCAUAAGGAAUGAUACCGUAUCGCACCUAAUCAAGUGCCUUAAGAAACAUCAACAGGAUAUCACAGUAAUCCCUUAUCGACUGAUAUUUGUAGCCACUACAAUAUCUAUGACACUGGUAGUAAUUAUAAGAACAAUAAUGAUGUUCUAUAAGAGGAAAUGAUGAUUAGGAACAAAAACUUACAGGAGAUAUCAUGCGGUGGAUGGAUAAUAUGUAAAAAAUAUUAAGCAGUAUAUGAAUUUUCAUAUUGCGUAGAGAUAACAAAAUGAAUUUUAAAAAAUGUCGACAUGGUAAUAAGAAAUAGCAUCAUGACAAAGAAUAUAUAAACACAGUUUCAUUUUUUAUAAAUAAAAAUUUGUUGUUCCAGAUUUUGAAAUAUAGUGAAACGUUUAAUUAGUAUCUUAAUAUCUUUAAAUAAUUAUUAUUUUAGAAUCAAUUGUAAUUGUAUCAUACGUACUUUUGAAUUCGUGCAAGAACAUAUGUUAUUUUGAAGUAGUUAUUAUUAGGAAAUUGUUAGACGCGAACAGUAUGCGAAA